rnacentral:rRNA from 1 species
UAGAGUUUGAUCCUGGCUCAGGAUGAACGCUGGCGGCGUGCUUAACACAUGCAAGUCGAACGGUGAACACGGAGCUUGCUCUGUGGGAUCAGUGGCGAACGGGUGAGUAACACGUGAGCAACCUACCCCUGACUCUGGGAUAAGCGCUGGAAACGGCGUCUAAUACUGGAUACGAGUGGCGACCGCAUGGUCAGCUACUGGAAAGAUUUAUUGGUUGGGGAUGGGCUCGCGGCCUAUCAGCUUGUUGGUGAGGUAAUGGCUCACCAAGGCGUCGACGGGUAGCCGGCCUGAGAGGGUGACCGGCCACACUGGGACUGAGACACGGCCCAGACUCCUACGGGAGGCAGCAGUGGGGAAUAUUGCACAAUGGGCGCAAGCCUGAUGCAGCAACGCCGCGUGAGGGAUGACGGCCUUCGGGUUGUAAACCUCUUUUAGCAGGGAAGAAGCGAAAGUGACGGUACCUGCAGAAAAAGCGCCGGCUAACUACGUGCCAGCAGCCGCGGUAAUACGUAGGGCGCAAGCGUUAUCCGGAAUUAUUGGGCGUAAAGAGCUCGUAGGCGGUUUGUCGCGUCUGCUGUGAAAUCCGGAGGCUCAACCUCCGGCCUGCAGUGGGUACGGGCAGACUAGAGUGCGGUAGGGGAGAUUGGAAUUCCUGGUGUAGCGGUGGAAUGCGCAGAUAUCAGGAGGAACACCGAUGGCGAA